rnacentral:rRNA from 1 species
UGCAGUCGACGAGACAUCGCGUCAUAGUGGCGCACGGGUGCGUAAACGGCGUGGGAAUCUGCCCUUGGGGUUUCGGAAUAAACAGUUGGAAAACGGACUGCUUAAUACCGGAUAAUGACGUAAGUCCCAAAGAUUUAUCGCCCAAGGAUGGAGCCCGCGUAGGAUUAGCUAGUUGGUGAGGUAAAGGCUCACCAAGGGCGACGAUCCUUAGCUGGUCUGAGAGGAUGAUCAGCCACACUGGGACUGAGACACGGCCCAGACUCCUACGGGAGGCAGCAGUGGGGAAUAUUGGACAAUGGGCGGAAAGCCUGAUCCAGCAAUGCCGCGUGAGUCGACGAAGCCCUUAGGGUUGUAAAGCUCUUUUACCCGGGAUGAUAAUGACAGUACCGGGAGAAUAAGCUCCGGUCUAACUCCGUGCCUAGCAGCCGCGGUAAUACGGAGGGAGCUAGCGUUGUUCGGAAUUACUGGGCGUAAAGCGCACGUAGGCGGCUUUGUAAGUUAGAGGUGAAAGCCUGGAGCUCAACUCCAGAAUUGCCUUUAAGACUGCAUCGCUUGAAUCCAGGAGAGGUGAGUGGAAUUCCGAGUGUAGAGGUGAAAUUCGUAGAUAUUCGGAAGAACACCCAGUGGCGAAGGCGGCUCACUGGACUGGUAUUGACGCUGAGGUGCGAAAGCGUGGGGAGCAACACUUUAUUAGAUACCCUGGUAGUCCACGCCGUAACCCCCCUUUUUUGAGCUGGUCAGGGUUCUUAAGAACUUUGGGUGGCGCAGCCUAACGCCAUUAAGCUCUCCCGCCUCGGGGAGGUACAGCCGCAAGAUUAAAACCUCAAAAGGAAUUGAC